UGGGGAAUAUUGCACAAUGGGCGCAAGCCUGAUGCAGCCAUGCCGCGUGUAUGAAGAAGGCCUUCGGGUUGUAAAGUACUUUCAGCGGGGAGGAAGGGAGUAAAGUUAAUACCUUUGCUCAUUGACGUUACCCGCAGAAGAAGCACCGGCUAACUCCGUGCCAGCAGCCGCGGUAGUACGGAGGGUGCAAGCGUUAAUCGGAAUUACUGGGCGUAAAGCGCACGCAGGCGGUUUGUUAAGUCAGAUGUGAAAUCCCCGGGCUCAACCUGGGAACUGCAUCUGAUACUGGCAAGCUUGAGUCUCGUAGAGGGGGGUAGAAUUCCAGGUGUAGCGGUGAAAUGCGUAGAGAUCUGGAGGAAUACCGGUGGCGAAGGCGGCCCCCUGGACGAAGACUGACGCUCAGGUGCGAAAGCGUGGGGAGCAAACAGG
rnacentral:rRNA from 1 species